rnacentral:rRNA from 1 species
AGCGGCGGACGGGUGAGUAAUGCCUAGGAAUCUGCCUGGUAGUGGGGGACAACGUUUCGAAAGGAACGCUAAUACCGCAUACGUCCUACGGGAGAAAGCAGGGGACCUUCGGGCCUUGCGCUAUCAGAUGAGCCUACGUCGGAUUAGCUAGUAGGUGGGGUAAUGGCUCACCUAGGCGACGAUCCGUAACUGGUCUGAGAGGAUGAUCAGUCACACUGGAACUGAGACACGGUCCAGACUCCUACGGGAGGCAGCAGUGGGGAAUAUUGGACAAUGGGCGAAAGCCUGAUCCAGCCAUGCCGCGUGUGUGAAGAAGGUCUUCGGAUUGUAAAGCACUUUAAGUUGGGAGGAAGGGCAGUAAGUUAAUACCUUGCUGUUUUGAUGUUACAACGCAAUCACCACCGUCUUGGUUGGGGGGCAGCACCCCCCGCCAAAGAAGGGUGGGUCGUUAUCCGGAUUUCCUGGGAGUAAAGCGCUCGAAGG